AUGCUGCUCCUGGCACUGGCAUUGCUUACAGUUCUCUUCCCAGCUGGUGACACUCAGUAUGCACUGCAGGGGCCAAUUUCUGUGCAUGUCAUCCAAAUCUCAUCAUUUUUCAAUUGUACUGUGGCACAAAAUCGAGUCUUGGGCUGGUUGGGAGAUAUGCAGACUGCUAGCUGGGACAGCGAUACAGACACUAUCAUAUUUCAGAACCGCUGGUCUAAAGGCAACUUCAGCAAUAAAGAGAUUUUGGAGUUGGAGGAGCUAUUUCAAGUCUACUUGUUCGGAUUCAUCACUGAAGUUCAGGAACGUAUAAGUGAUUUCCAGAUGGAAUAUUCAUUUGAGAUUCAGGGCAUCACAGGCUGUGAGCUGAAUUCGGAGGAACCACUGAAUACUUUCUGAGGGGAGCUCUAGUGGGACUGGAUUUCUUGAGUAUUAAGAAUCAUUCAUGUUGGUCUGCCCCAGAAGGUGGCACCAGGGCUCAGGAAUUCUGUUCAUUAAUAUUACAGUGCAAAGGAAUCUGUGAUGUUGUGAGAUAUCUCCUCACAAAAACUUGUCCCAGAUAUUUGACAGGUGUCAUAGAAGCAGGAAAAGCAGAUCUGCAGAAGAAAGUGAAACCUGAGGGCUGGCUGUCCCAGGGCUGUCCCAGCACUGGACCUGGCCUUCCGCAGCUGUGUGCCACAUCUCUGGCUUCUACCCAAAGCCUGUGUGGGUGAUGUGGAUGCGGGGUGAGCAGGAGCUGCCUGAAACUCAGAGAGGGAACAUACUGCCCAAUGCUGAUGACACAUGGUAUCUCCGAGUGACCCUGGAUGUAGCAGCUGAGGAGGCCACUGGGCUGUCUUGCCAAGUGAAGCACAGCAGCCUGGGAGGGCAGGACAUUGUCCUCCCCUGGGGACACCCCAUCUCCACUGCCUGGAUCAUUUUGGCAGUACUAGUGCCUUGUUUGAUUGUUUUGGGGUUAUUUGCAUUAUGGUUUUAUAGGCGCUGGUCAUAUGAAGAUAUCUUGUGAUGUCUCAUUUCUAGGAGUUUGAGUUAGUUCCAGGAUGUCUAGAAACUUAGAUCAUCAAUCCAGGAGUCAAUGCUCUUGCAUUACACCAGAUAUCCACUAUUUUUGAUCACAUCAGUGAAUGAAUUUAUUGUAAACUGUAUAGCAAUGUAUGUCAACAAAAG